rnacentral:rRNA from 1 species
GAUGAACGCUAGCGGCAGGCCUAAUACAUGCAAGUCGAGGGGCAGCGCGGUAGCAAUACUGGCGGCGACCGGCGCACGGGUGCGUAACACGUAUGCAACCUACCUUCAACUGGAGGAUAGCCCGGGGAAACUCGGAUUAAUACUCCAUAACACAGGGAUCCCGCAUGGGAAUAUUGUAAAGCUACGGCGGUUGAAGAUGGGCAUGCGUUCGAUUAGCUAGUUGGUGUAGGUAACGGCUCACCAAGGCUACGAUCGAUAGGGGGUCUGAGAGGAUGAUCCCCCACACUGGUACUGAGAUACGGACCAGACUCCUACGGGA